rnacentral:lncRNA from 1 species
AUGAUGCCAUCAUCAAUCAGCUGGARUCAGAGGCAGAAACAGUGGUCAAGAGGACCUGGAUGGAACACAUCACUGAGGAUCUUCCUGGAAGAUCAUGAAAAACGCAAAGGAGCAUAUAAAGAGGACUCUGUUGUAAGUCUCCUACGGGCCAUAAGAAACAAGAGUAACCAUUACGAUGAAAUUCCUGAUCUCCAUCAGAUGUUCCCAAAAGGCUUUAUGUCCUACUUCACCUCCUGCUUCCCCCACCUGCUGCUGAACACAUACCUGGCCAUGUGCYCCUGUGCUGAGGAGCUGACUUUCCAGAAAUACUACUCCAAGUUGAGAGAGGCGUGGAUGGUCUAUGACACACCCACAGCCUAAGACCAAAAAGUACAUUACACCAACCUUUGAAGUGAUGACAACCAAGCCACCAGCCCAAAUAUUCUGUCUUUUUCUAGGCUUUGCUUUUAUUGUUGAUUUCAUAACAUGAACCUGCAGUGCACUGAAUCCAGAGACAUUCCUUCUAUGUAGACCAACGCAAUAACAAUUCCAUAACUAGAUAGACUGUCAGUUCACUGUACUGUCAAUGUACUUUAUUGUUGUGACACAAAAGUGACCUUUUUUUAAAAUCAGUUUUUCUAUUGUCUUCUGUAUGAAAUAGUAUUGUUUAUGCAGUGCUGUAUUCCUGAUCCUCUGUGGACCCUGACAUGGGCACAUCCAACGGAGUUCCUAUUGGUAUUUUUAUUGCUGUACUGUGUUUUGUUGAUGUCUGUUUAUAGAUGAUGUAAUGCUUUAUAGAUGACGCCUGCACCAUGAUUGACUAUAAUGGCUUUUAGUGCCUCAACUCAAUUUGAGUUGUCCACAAUGUUUUUAUUUUUUAUUUUGAAUCUGUAUUUUGUAUCAUUGUYGCUAAGAUGAGAAAAAAGAAGAAACCCGCACACUGUUCUUGAUAGUUUCCCUGCUCUUUAUGAAGAUGUAUGUAUCGAGGCCUUCCUCAGAGUUCUUUUGAGUGUUUUUAAUUGGCACCCUUAUGUAGACAUUGCUCCACCCACAUCUGUUCAAUGCAUCGAAUGGGUUUGGAGUAUAGGGAAAACAAGUAUAUGUUACCAAAUAUAAACAUGUACAUGUCAUAAGUAUUCUAAUACAGUGUGUACAUAAAACGUAUUAAACAUGUCUGUAAAACCACAAUGAGGACAUCGACCUAUCAACUAAGGUUUCAUAAAUCAUUGGGUACAGUACAAGAACAAACGUCCGAGUGAUCUGAUGUGGCGGCAUUAACUCAUAUUCACAGUUACAACAAAACAUGCAUGGGCAUGUUAAGACCUUUUGUCUGAAAAUCCAAAAACCUUCUUGUCACGGUUGUUGUAAGAACGGGACCAAGGCGCAGCGGAUGUAGAGUUCCACAUAUUUUUUUCAAAUUGAAAAAAUAAACAAAACAUAUCAAUAAACUAACAACUAAACGUGACUCAGUGGUGCACAUGCACAAACACAAAAUAAUAUCCCACAAACACAGGUGGGAAAAAUAGCUACUUAAAUAUGAUCCCGAAUUAGAGACAACGAGUACCAGCUGCCUCUAAUUGGGAAUCAUACAAAACACCAACAGAAAAACAAACUAGAACAUAACAUAGAAAUAAUAAACUAGACUACCCCCUAGUCAUGCCCUGACCUACUACACCAUAGAGAAACAAUGGCUCUCUACGGUCAGGGCGUGGCACUUCUCUUUUUCUCAGGGUAUUAUUCAUAUCACCUCCCCGGUCUGAUAUCUUGACUUUCUCGAUGCCACAAAAUGUAAAGGUAGAAAUGUCAUGUUUUUGGUCAUUAAAAUGUACUGCAACUGGAUAAUCCCUGUCCUUUCUCCUGAUUCAACUUUUAUAUUCUCUAAUUCUCUGUUUGAGAGAGGUUUUACCUACAUAACACAGCCCACACGGACAUUUAAUUAUUUAGAUAACAUGGGUGGUGGCGCGUAAUAAUGUCAUUUAUUUGGAACCGUUUUCCUUUAUGUGUGUGGCAGAAAUAUUCACACUUCAUCAUAUUAUUGCACCGUGAGCAACCCAUGCAAGUAUAGCUACCAUUCGGAAGAGGGCGUAAAAGAGCCUGGCUCAUUUUCUUUUUUGGCUGGCAGUUGACAUGGGACAAAUUUGCCGCGUAAAUUGCGAACUCUCCAAUAUACAAUAAGUGUUGGAUUCUUAAAUUCAGCUGGCAGAGCUGGGUCCGAUGAUAAAACACACCAGUGUUUCUUGGCAGUAUCUCCCACGUUGCGCCAGUUCAGAGUAUAUGUGGUGGUGAACAUUACAGUGUGUUCUUUACCUUUAGCGGGUCUUUUUCUGUAACAGUUCAUCUUGUGUUUCCCCCAAUGCCAAAUCAAGAGCUUCAUCCACACAUUGUGGAGAGUAGCCUCUUAGAAACGUAUUGCGCAUCUCCGCUGCUAGAUAGUCCUCUGGCAUAUACUGCGCAGUCUGAAAAACUAGCUUCUUGGAAGUCCUCUUUUUAACGGCCCAGGGUGGAACCUGUCGACCUGUAAUAUAGUAUUUAUGUCCGUUUUUUCUGUACAGUGUUGUAAACAGGGUUCCAUUUGAUUUCUAAGUCCACAUAUCAAGCUAAUGAAUGCGUUUAAUGUCACAUUCAAUCGUGAGAUUUGAGAUUGGGGUCAAUGUCAUUGACUAAUGCCAUAAAGUCUGACAGCUCUUCUCCCGUUCCCCAUAUGCAAAAAAAUGUCAUCCAUAUAUCGAUACCACUUCAGGAUUUUAUUCCAAAAAUGAUUUUAAUUUUCAUUGUUAACUAAACUUUAUCCAAAAUGACCCACAUGAAGGUUAGCAUAGCUUGGAGCUAAUGUGGAGCCCAUCGAUGUUCCAUUAGUUUGGAGGUAGUAUUCAUCAUCAAACCGGAAAUAUAUGUCAAAACAUAUUCAGCCAGCUACCCUGCCUGGUCCUUCUGAUCACUGCUAGUCUAUUAGAAUCUACCCUGGUCCUUCUGAUCACUGCUAGUCUAUUAGGGUCUACCCUGGUCCUUCUGAUCACUGCUAGUCUAUUAGAGUCGACCCUGGUCCUUCUGAUCACUGCUAGUCUAUUAGAGUCGACCCUGGUCCUUCUGAUCACUGCUAGUCUAGUAGAGUCGACCCUGGUCCUUCUGAUCACUGCUAGUCUAUUAGAGUCUACCCUGGUCCUUCUGAUCACUGCUUGUUCAUUAGUCUAUAUACAGUGCAUUCGGAAAGUAUUCAGACCCCUUCCCUUUUUCGUCAUUUUGUUACGUUACAGCCUUAUUCUGAAAAUUAUUAAAUKAAAAAAGUUKCUCAUCAAUCUACACACCAUACCCCAUAAUGACAAAGCAAAAACUGCUUUUUUAGAAAUGUUAGCAAACAUAUUACAAAUAAGAAACAGAAAUAACUUAUUUACAGUGGGGCAAAAAAGUAUUUAGUCAGCCACCAAUUAUGCAAGUUCUCCCACUUAAAAAGA